rnacentral:rRNA from 1 species
CAAUAGCGUAUAUUAAAGUUGUUGCAGUUAAAAAGCUCGUAGUUGGAUUUCUGGUUGAAGCGACCGGUCGGGCGUUGAUUCGUCUGCACUGGAGUCGGUUUUGGCUAUCCUCUAGGAAAGUGCGUCUGGUAUUAAGUUAUCGGGCGUAUGAUCCUGGUCUUUUACUGUGAAAAAAUUAGAGUGUUUAAAGCAGGCCUUCGCCUUGAAUACAUUAGCAUGGAAUAAUAAGAUAGGACUUUGGUCUAUUUUGUUGGUUUGCAGACCGAAGUAAUGAUUAAUAGGGAUAGUUGGGGGUAUUUAUAUUCCGAUGUCAGAGGUGAAAUUCUUAGAUUUUCGGAAGAUAAACUUAUGCGAAAGCAUUUACCAAGGAUGUUUUCAUUA